GGCCAAGCUCGCCCUCGGGGACCUGGAAGAUCAACGAAAACUCGUCGCCAGGGCCAAGAGGGCAGCCGAAGCCAGAGGGUUCCUGGACUAAGGAAUCUUUCCACCUCAGGGUGAUAGCGGGCCUCGCUCUGGACACUGUUUCAAGAAUAAACGUUUAUUUCUCUCUCUCUUUCGCAUUUUGUCACGAG
rnacentral:lncRNA from 1 species